AAUAAAACAACUGAUGCAGCAAUAAAAAAAUCAACAUCUCUUGUGUUCUGUGCUGGCGGUAUGGACAUUUUUGUCUUGUUGUUUCUUGUUGCUUCUUUUGGAGGAACCUGAUCGGAAGAGACAAACUGUAAGGUGGGCUUAAAACUAGCUUUGAAACUGUUCAAUAUGUAGCGUUUCCUCAACCUUUGAACUGGAUACACCAGGUUCAAUGAACAAGAAUGAAAGAAAUAAGAAGUCCUAA
rnacentral:ribozyme from 13 species